ACUGCCUGAGGUCAGGAAGCUGCAGGUAGCAGGGGAGCGGGUUGGCCCAGACCUCUCUGGCUGCCAAGGCAGGAGCAGUCCCCGUGUGCCACCUGGGUGUUGCUGGACCUUGGACAGUGUGGCCAGAGGAUCCGGAAGGGGUGAGGAAACCGGGGCGUGGAGAGGCUGUGUUACUUGCUCAAGGUCACAUUGCUAGCAAGUUCCAGAUCAAGAUGCAUCCCCAGGCAGUCUGGCUCCAGACUCCGUGCAUUUACCUGCAGAACCCCUCUCCAGCCAGCAUCUGACCUGUGGCCCAGGAGUGUGCACCCUCUGGCAGGGACAGGAGGUCUAAGGUCUCAAAUGGAUUUAGCAGCAGAGCCAAGACUCCAGCCCAAGUGCCUGGAUCCCAUUUCAGAGUCUGUCCCAUCAGAGCACACAGCCGGGAAGCCACCUAUGGGCAACAAGAUCUCCAAGGAAACUCCAGAACAUUCUAUGGGUUUCAGUGGUUACCUGCUGAGGCGGCAUUGGGCAUGGAGCAUCCGAGGGUCCAAGCUUCAAGCUGCUGCUGCACAGGAAGCUCCAGGUAGGUGGAAGGAGUUGGGGUCUGAAGACUGACUCACCUGUCCAGGAACCUCUGCCCAGGGGUGUAAGGACUGCCGUGGUGCAGCCUCAUGGCAUCCCCCAUUCCCCUUGCAGCAGGGCCCUGGGUGUUCAUUUCAAUCUGAUUUUUCUUUUCUUUUUUUUUUUUGAGAUGGCGUCUUGCUCUGUCACCCAGGCUGGAGUGCAGUGGUGCCAUCUUGGCUCAUGGCAAGCUCCGCCUCCCGGUUCAAGCAUCAAUCCAAUUUUUCUAAAGCAAAUGUUGGUUUCUUGGGAGAAGGUGUGGCCGGACAAUUUCCAGGAGCACAUGGCCCUAGGCAUACUGUCCCUUUGAGAUGGCCUUAGUUUGGGCAGGGAUGCUGCAGGUGGUCAAAGCUGGACCUCCCGCCCAAUGGAGGGUGUUGGGUGGCUGGCCCCCAGCUGUGUGGCAUGUGCAUUGCUGGGCCUGAGUGUGUACGUGUGUGUGUGCAUGUGUGUGUGUGCAUGCGUGUGUGUGUGUGUGUUGUUGGGGUGGGAGUGGGAAGUCAGACCUGUGUGGCAAAAACCUGAGUCUAGUGGAAGGCCUCCCCUGCCCCUACCCACCCUCCUCUCUGGCCGAGGGGGCUGAACCAUGGCUGGAGGGAGCCACGCCAGGCUGGGAUCUCCGAGGGGUCCUUGAACCACAUCUGAGCUCUGGGAAGGCUCCCCGGUGCGUGGAGAGCAGAGAGGGAGGCUCCGUGGUGAUUUACAGGCACCUCCUUUUGAUCGUCUCGCUCCCUUGGAGAGAUCCCUCCUCCACACCUGGGGGCUGCAGGGGAGGCGGGGCACAGGGGGUUCUCAGCUGGCCCGGGGCAGCAGGGUCUGGUGUCCCUGGGAUACAGGAAGCUUCCUUCUCUCUGGUAUGGCCUUGCUGGUACCUGGCUGCUUGUGCAUAUCACUGAGCAGCCCAGCUCCUGUCCAGCGGGGCGGGGUCCAGAGCACACCCCUGGCGCUCGGGGCUGGGCCUGCCUCCCCACACCUGGCUCUGCUUCCAUUCUUCCAGGGACAAUGCGACUGUUUCACUGGCCUCCUCUUCUGCCUGGACCCACAGGGCUUCUUCUUCCUGCCUCCCUGCCUGACAUUCCUGGACUCCACUCCAGGCGUUUGAAAGCCCUGGAUGUCCCAACAAUUUCUAUUUUUUUCCCUGGUCCUAAGGGGCCAAGAAGCCCAGAUUUCAGGCACAGUCUAGGCACGGCCUAUGGGGUGGUCAGCAGUGGGCAGGUGCAGAUGCAAAGGAGGGCAGAGGUUGCUGAGGCUGUGGAUGGCCUUGUGACAGGUCCCGAAAGGGCACCUGAGCUAGGACGCCCAGGCGGGACUGCGAGGGAGGUGGCCACUCUGGGGCAGGGUGGGGACAGCCCUCAGGACUCCUCGGGCCUGACCAUCUUUGGGAGGAACUCUAGCAUGUCCAGGGCAGGGCGGGAGGGCCUGGGAAAGCGGAGUGAGGGAGCCCCUGGCAGGCUUGUGUCAAGGCAGGGACAGGUGCCUUCCUCAGGGCCCAAGUGACUGGUUUUACCUCCUCUCUCACCGUCAAGUCCAUGGGUGGGAGUGGAGGCGGAGGAAGUAGGGGAUGAGCAGAGGAGUUGCCAGACCAGGGACAGCUUGAACCCGGAGUCCACUGACGGGUUGUGGGGCUGAGAAAGGAGAGACGGGGACAGGAACAGCACGGAGUGCCAGCGGGAGGCCAGAGUGUCAGGGACAGGAGUGGAGUGACCUUGGGGGUGAUGGGGUGGAGCUGUGUGCUGGGCGCCCUGUCUAUCCACCCCACCAUCUGGGGCCUCAGGGGCCCGGGGCCACCAUCUGACUGUGGUCCUGGUCAUUGCUUUCACCCCUCCUUGCCCCUCCCUCAUAUCCUGCCCAAAGCCUUCUUCCUCCACAAAGCUUAAGGUUUACUUAUUGAAAUUAGCCCGUCUUUUUCUUCAUGGCUUCUGGGUUUUGUAACGUACCGAGGAAGGGCUUCCCUACCCAAGAUUCUGAAAGUGUUUCCUUUUAGCGCUCACCGUUCUCUUCUCUUCCUUCUGUCCUCUGCCUGUUCCUGCCCCACUUCCCAUGAUUAUCAUGCCUUUGUUUGUUUGUUUUUUGAAGGAGUCUCCCACUGUUGCCCGGGCUGGAGUAUAGUGGCGCAAUCACAAUCUCGCAAUCUCGGCUCACUGCAACCUCCACCUACUGGGUUCAAAUGAUUCUCCUGCCUCAGCCUCCCGAGUAGCUGGGAUUACAGGUGCCCGCCACCAGGCCGGGUUAAGUUUUUGUAUUUUUAGUAGAGACGGGGUUUCACUAUGUUGGCCAGGCUGGUCUUGAACUCCUGACCUUGUGAUCACCCGCCUCAGUCUCCCAAAGUGCUGGGAUUACAGGUAUGAGCCACCGCGUCUGGCCUGUUUGUGGGAUUACAGGCAUGAGCCAUCUGUUUGUUGUUUCUCAUCUCCCACCGGCAGAGAGGUUCCUUGAAUAUCCCCAGCACUUAGAUAGUGCCUGGUGUAUGGGAGGUGAGCAAUACAUCAUAUUGAAUGUGGGACCAGGAUGUAUGCCCAGGUCCCAGACCCAAGACGGAGAAGGUGUUUAGCAGAGAAAUUGUUCUGUAGCUGUGCAAAUUGAGGCUGAUAGCAGCAAUCCCAGAACAUAUCUGUUGAGUACUUACCUGUACGUUCAGGUAAAUCACCUGCCCCAGCCCAGUCUCCUGCUCCCUCCCCGAACAUUCUCCCCUUACCUGUCCAGGGGCCUCUGCUCCAAGUGGGCGGGCCUCCUCCAGCCUGGAGUCCCUUCUGUCACCUCUCCUCACAGCCCACACACUCCCCCAUAGCUCCCCACUAAUCUCUCUCCUCCCUAACUAGGGGUGGAUGCAGGAACGUUGGCAUCCAUUCAACAAAGGCCUGUUGGGUUCUAGCGGUGCUCAGAGCUGGGGUGCAGUGAUGGGGGAGACAUGUCCCCUCCAGAGCGUCACAGAAGGCAGGCGACAUACUCCACUCUUCCCACCAUAACUACCAUCCAGCCCACUGAAGACCACCAUGAGGACGUACCAAACAGGACCCUCCAGCCUGCCCAGGUGCAAGACCCUGCUGGGCCUGGGUGAGGUGAGAUGCACCAGUGCCAGCUCCAAUCUGCCCUUGCCAAACGCUGUUCCAAAUUGGCUCCGUGAAACCAGAACCGUGAAAUCCCAUCAGGACAGCUGGAGGUAAGCACAGCGGUGGAAGGAUUUAGACCACGUCGAAACGGCUCAUGGACAAGAGGGUGAGAACCCGUGGACUCCUGGGCAAAGGCACCAUCGGGAACAUUAAGAAAGCAAUCCCACCUCAAACCCACAACCAAAAUAUUUUAUAAGAACCCUCCCUUCCCCCCCCCCACUCUCUUUUUGUCAAGUAAAGGAUACACACGGCCUUUCUACUUGUAACCUGGCCAAGAAUAAUUUGUGGCAGGAAAGUUUGAGCAUUUGUCAAAAUAAAAUAAAAAUGUAAAAAAAAAAA